UUUAAUUGGAGAGUUUGAUCCUGGCUCAGAAUGAACGCUGGCGGCGUGCUUAACACAUGCAAGUCGUACGAGAACUCUUUAGCUUGCUAAAGAUAGUAAAGUGGCGCACGGGUGAGUAACGCGUGGGUAAUCUGCCUCUGAAUCGGGGAUAACAUUGCGAAAGCGAUGCUAAUACCGGAUAACAUCUCAAAACCAUCUGGUUUUGAAAUUAAAAAUGGCCUCUACAUGUAAGCUGUUGUUUGGAGAUGAGCCCGCGUACCAUUAGCUUGUUGGUAGGGUAAUGGCCUACCAAGGCCACGAUGGUUAGCUGGUCUGAGAGGAUGAUCAGCCACACUGGAACUGACACACGGUCCAGACUCCUACGGGAGGCAGCAGUGAGGAAUUUUGCGCAAUGGGGGAAACCCUGACGCAGCAACGCCGCGUG
rnacentral:rRNA from 1 species